rnacentral:rRNA from 1 species
UGGGGAAUAUUGGACAAUGGGGGGAACCCUGAUCCAGCCAUGCCGCGUGUGUGAAGAAGGCCUUAUGGUUGUAAAGCACUUUAAGCGAGGAGGAGGGUACUGGUAUUAAUACUACCAGGUACUGGACGUUACUCGCAGAAUAAGCACCGGCUAACUCUGUGCCAGCAGCCGCGGUAAUACAGAGGGUGCGAGCGUUAAUCGGAUUUACUGGGCGUAAAGCGUGCGUAGGCGGCUAAUUGAGUCGGAUGUGAAAUCCCCGAGCUUAACUGGGGAAUUGCAUUCGAUACUGGUUAGCUAGAGUGUGGGAGAGGAUGGUAGAAUUCCAGGUGUAGCGGUGAAAUGCGUAGAGGUCUGGAGGAAUACCGAUGGCGAAGGCAGCCAUCUGGCCUAACACUGACGCUGAGGUACGAAAGCAUGGGGAGCAAACAGG